rnacentral:rRNA from 1 species
GACGUAGGGCGCGAGCGUUGUCCGGAUUUAUUGGGCGUAAAGAGCUCGUAGGCGGCUUGUCGCGUCGAAUGUGAAAACUUGGGGCUCAACCCUAAGCCUGCAUUCGAUACGGGCAGGCUAGAGUUCGGUAGGGGAGACUGGAAUUCCUGGUGUAGCGGUGAAAUGCGCAGAUAUCAGGAGGAACACCGGUGGCGAAGGCGGGUCUCUGGGCCGAUACUGACGCUGAGGAGCGAAAGCGUGGGGAGCGAACAGG